CCUACGGGAGGCAGCAGUGAGGAAUAUUGGACAAUGGGCGCAAGCCUGAUCCAGCCAUGCCGCGUGCAGGAAGAAGCAUCUAUGGUGUGUAAACUGCUUUUGUACGGGAAGAAACACUCCUACGUGUAGGAGCUUGACGGUACCGUAAGAAUAAGGAUCGGCUAACUCCGUGCCAGCAGCCGCGGUAAUACGGAGGAUCCAAGCGUUAUCCGGAAUCAUUGGGUUUAAAGGGUCCGUAGGCGGUUUAAUAAGUCAGUGGUGAAAUCUGGUCGCUUAACGAUCAAACGGCCAUUGAUACUGUUAGACUUGAAUUAUUGGAAGUAACUAGAAUAUGUAGUGUAGCGGUGAAAUGCUUAGAUAUUACAUGGAAUACCAAUUGCGAAGGCAGGUUACUACAAAUGGAUUGACGCUGAUGGACGAAAGCGUGGGGAGCGAACAGGAUUAGAUACCCUGGUAGUCCACGCGAACGAUAGAUACUANUGUGGUAGUAUAUCNGUGNGUAGACGAAGUAGAGUAGUA
rnacentral:rRNA from 1 species